GUNUGAGAGGAUGAGCAGCCACACUGGGACUGAGACACGGCCCCAGACUUCCUACGGGAGGCAGCAGUGGGGAAUUUUCCGCAAUGGGCGAAAGCCUGACGGAGCAACGCCGCGUGUGGGAAGAAGGCUCUUGGGCUGUCAACCACUUUUCUCAGGGAAGAAGAUCUGACGGUACCUGAGGAAUCAGCCUCGGCUAACUCCGUGCCAGCAGCCGCGGUAAUACGGAGGAGGCAAGCGUUAUCCGGAAUUAUUGGGCGUAAAGCGUCCGCAGGGGGCGCAUCAAGUCUGCUGUUAAAGGUCGGAGCUUAACUCCGGUAGAGCAGUGGAAACUGGUGCGCUAGAGGGCGACAGGGGUAGAGGGAAUUCCCAGUGUAGCGGUGAAAUGCGUAGAGAUUGGGAAGAACACCGGUGGCGAAAGCGCUCUACUGGGUCGCACCUGACCCUCAGGGACGAAAGCUAAGGUAGCGAAAGGGAUUAGAUACCCCUGUAGUCUUAGCCGU
rnacentral:rRNA from 1 species